AGUGUGGGCUUAGCAACCCUCAUCCUAGCUCUCUGGAAGCCAGUCUUCUCCUGUUUGCCUUCAGAACAAGAUGUAGAACUCUCAAUUCCUCCUACACCCUGCCUGCCUGGAUGCUGCCAUGCUCCUACAUUGAUGAUAAUGGACUGAACUUCUGAACCUGGUAUUUUCUUAGUGUUUGAUGUAGGAGGACCCAGCCAAUGACAUGUUUACUGUGACUGCAUAUUAUCCUGCAAACUAUAUAUGACCACAUCUUCCUCUUCCAUUUCUCUGGCCACCCUGGUAGGAGCCACAACUUCCAUAUUGUGAAUACUGCUACAGCAAACACUGAUGGGCUGGCAUCGUUGUCCAUUGGCACGGAGUCUUUCAGAACACCGUUUUCUGGAAGGUCUACCUUCCUCCCCACAUCCUCCUCCACCCAUCCCUUCCGGGCAUGGAUCUCCACCCCUGAACACCAGAGGAGAAGACUCCUUUCAAAGUUUGUAGUCAGGUCUCCAAGAAGAUAUGGUCUCCAAUACAACAAAAAACUACCUGGACUGUGAUAUGCUAACUGCUGGGCAAGCCUGUCCCAUUGACUCACCUGCUGCUAGGACCCAGCCUGAACUGUGGACAAACAGGACACCUAGAGAAUUAACUGUAUCACAUUGCCUAAGACAAAAUGAGCUUCAGAGAAUCCACUUGAACCUACCUAUUACAGGCCAAACGGACUCCAGGUAAGUAUUGUCACUCAACAGCCUGUUUCUCCACCUGCCUAUUCCUGAGAGUGGGAUUUAGUCCCCCUUUCC